rnacentral:rRNA from 1 species
AUGAGCCCAUCUGAUGGCGGUGCCGACCCAUCUUCUGGUGCUGGAUGCGGCAACCAGGGCGAAGGAGAAGAAAUUAAUGUAGACUACCACCAUCGCCAGGUUGCAGGUGAACAACCGACCGUUGUGGUGGCCUUCAGGUUGGCCACGGAGAAGUCCUGGAGCGGCGGCGUGUCCAAGAGGAUGCAGCUCGCCAGCCCGCUGCCCGCUGCCCGCCGCUCCUCCCCUGCCUUCUCCUUCUCUCCCUUUUCUUCUCCUUCCUUCUUUCCUUUCUCCAUGUUUUUUCACCUCCGGCUCCCUCUCUGUCGACUGUCUCUAUGCAGCUCCGCCUCUAUGGAGAUCGCCGCCCCGCGUGUGCCGUCACCUGUAAGACUCCGUUCGAGGUUCGACGCCCGUCGUCCUCGCCUCCCAUGUCUCCUGCCGCUUGCCCCACAUCGUGGUGCAUCAUGGAUGCCAUCCAGAUCGAGCAGGGGCACGAGAGGUGCCGCGCUCCCCUCCUUGAACGGCUGCUUUGCUGUCGUCGUCUCACCCAUCGCGGACUAG